rnacentral:tRNA from 1 species
GGGCCGGUAGCUCAGCGGUAGAGCAGCGGGCUCAUAACCCGACAGGCACAGGUUCGAAUCCUGUCCGGCCCA